CUCAUUCAUACAAUAGUUACAUACUACACUAUUAAUACAUGGUCCCACCUGUCAUAGACACACUGUGUCUUGUAGUCCGUGCUACAGCUGGCUACAAAUUUGUAGCCCGCUGCCCUUCUCUCUCCUCAUUUAUAUCCUUAAAAUAUGUUUGCAGCUGGUUUGUAAACAUAUUUUAAUAAGAUAAAGGAUGAGAGAGAAGAGCAGCGGGCUACAGAUCUGUAGCUAGCUGCAGUGCGGACUCCAAGACAAGAUGUGUGUAUGACAGGUGUGACCAUAUAUUAAUAGUAUAGUAAGCAACUAUUAUAUGAAU
rnacentral:misc_RNA from 1 species